rnacentral:rRNA from 1 species
GACGAACGCUGGCGGCGUGCUUAACACAUGCAAGUCGAACGACGUGGCGAACGGGUGAGUAAUACGUGGGUAACCUGCCCUCCUUUUUGGGAUAAGCCUUGGAAACGGGGUCUAAUACCGAGUAAAGCGGGAUGGGCUCGCGGCCUAUCAGCUUGUUGGUGGGGUGAUAGACUACCAAGGCGGUCACGGGUAGCCGGCCUGAAAGGGUGACCGGCAACAUUGGCACUGGGAAACGGCGCAGACGCCUAAGGGAUGCAGGAGUGGAGGAUAUUGAACAAUGGGCGAAAGCCUGACGCAGCGACACCGCGUGGGGGAGUAAGGCUUGCGCGUUGUACACCUCUUUCGCUAUCGAGCGGGUAGGUGGAGAAGAAGCGCCGGCUAACUACGUGCCAGCAGCCGCGGUAAUUC